rnacentral:rRNA from 1 species
ACAUGCAAGUCGAGCGAACGGACGAGAAGCUUGCUUCUCUGAUGUUAGCGGCGGACGGGUGAGUAACACGUGGAUAACCUACCUAUAAGACUGGGAUAACUUCGGGAAACCGGAGCUAAUACCGGAUAAUAUUUUGAACCGCAUGGUUCAAAAGUGAAAGACGGUCUUGCUGUCACUUAUAGAUGGAUCCGCGCUGCAUUAGCUAGUUGGUAAGGUAACGGCUUACCAAGGCAACGAUGCAUAGCCGACCUGAGAGGGUGAUCGGCCACACUGGAACUGAGACACGGUCCAGACUCCUACGGGAGGCAGCAGUAGGGAAUCUUCCGCAAUGGGCGAAAGCCUGACGGAGCAACGCCGCGUGAGUGAUGAAGGUCUUCGGAUCGUAAAACUCUGUUAUUAGGGAAGAACAUAUGUGUAAGUAACUGUGCACAUCUUGACGGUACCUAAUCAGAAAGCCACGGCUAACUACGUGCCAGCAGCCGCGGUAAUACGUAGGUGGCAAGCGUUAUCCGGAAUUAUUGGGCGUAAAGCGCGCGUAGGCG